GGGGAUUUAGCUCAGUGGUAGAGCGCUUGCCUAGGAAGCGCAAGGCCCUGGGUUCGUUCCCCAGCUCCG
rfam:Rattus norvegicus chromosome 2, whole genome shotgun sequence.